ensembl:lncRNA
GAUUUGCAUAACUCUUUGUUUACCCUUGUUGGCCAUUGUCAGGGUUUGGCCAGGUCUUGAGAGUUAGUUUCUAUUUUUGUUGUUUCGUUAUGAUAAAGAUGGGGUUAAUUAUUGCACAGUUUGACUCCUGCAGGCAGACCGAUGUAAGCGGGGCAGUCUAAUGUCUUGUGAUCUUCAUGUUUCGUGGUACUUGGCUUGGACUGCCUAAACCCACUAAUCUUGACGUGGCAGACGUUUUACCUGUCAAGACCUGUGGGUCAUCUUAAACACAAUGUUUCAUUGGACCUUAAUGUUUCCCCAAAUGUCUUAUGUUGUUUGUUGAUUAACCAAAGUUUUUUUGCCCUCCAUCUUAGUCUACUGUAAACAAGAGAUAUUGAAAGUAUGUCUAUAAUUUUUCCAGGCUGGGCCUCCCUGACUAAGCCACACACAGAUGCCCUUCUCUGGAAUACAUAUGCAGAAAUGUGUGUAUACUUACUUGAGUUUGCUUUCUCUCACUCUUUGUAUCCUUGUGGAAAAUAGAAUUUGAGGUGUAAGGAUGUAUAGCUUUUUGUUUCUGUCUACACUCGUUUUUCUUAAAAUAACGUGUUGUGCUACAGCUAUUUUUUUUCUAAUAAUUAUACGUGGCCGUGCGUGUGGGUGUGUAUAUGCUAGUGUGAGUGUGCGCGUGUGUGUGUUGUCCGCGUGGUCAUGGUUUUGGGAUGCUGUGCCAGGAAGGUGGGGCUAAUGGGUGCUUGGGUGGGGUUAUGGAUAAAAGCCUGAUAGCACUGGAAGUGGUGCUUUAGCUGAAAGAGCAAAAGUUUGCACUAAUGUUAAAUGUCCUUGUCCUGCUUAUGGGAAAAGGACAGGGGACCUCAGAAAGGCCUGCGAGUUUCCAUGAGCACAGAGCUGUGUGGUUAAUACUCAAUGGUCUCAUUAAGAGUCCAUCCAACCCCUCCGUAGAAAUAAUCAUGUAUAGUAUAUUCAAAAUAUACAGACGUCCAGCAACAAUAAACACCAAAGGAGAAAAAAAAAACUGCUUUCAUUUAAGUCACUGGGCAUUUUAAGCUACCAAUGUAAUGUUUGAUUAUUAGUUUUACUGUUUAAUCUGAAGGCUCUUCAAAAGAGAUUUGGGAUAUUUUUUUUGUUUGUUUUUUUUGAUAGAAGUCAAUCAUACGUGCUCUUUAUACAUGAAAAUCUAAAUAUAGAAAAUUUAGGCAAGCAGCAAAUCUUCUCUGAAAAAAGGAAAAAAAAACCUACUAGUUCCUGGUGAUGGCUCAGAUGCAAUGUUUAAAGAUGCCACAGAUACUCAUUCCAGUUCUUUGUCAUUCUGAGAUUUUUGUCUUAUGUUGAGUCCGCUGACGGAUUAUCGAUCCUAAAAUCUGAUGUGUUUUUUUUAAUACUCUUACUUUUGUUACUGCUGAAUUGGAUGAUUUCCAUUUACCUUCUGCUGUUUGAGCUGAGUUUAAAUGUUCUCUGGUUGAGACAGACGGUGACUUUGUGGCCUUGACUGGGCAGUGCUGAGCUCAUGGUGGUGUGUGUGUUUUCAGACGGUAAUGUCAUGCGGCGUGGGGCUGAGGCUCACUCCCACCAGGUGGAUUGUGCAGACACAAGGGCCACAGUGUGCCUUAUGUGGACAGGAAUUAAAAAAACAACAACUCUCCUUUAUUUUUAUUUUUUUACCAUUUAAACACUUUUCUUGUAACAUUGAAACCAAAUUGUGAAAGCCGAUUGGCUCGUACUAAAACGAUAGUUAGUACUGAAUGAACUGAUAUAUUAGUGUCUCUCUCUGCCUCCGUGGCUCCACAGCUGGUGUGUCCCCUGCCUCAGCCCCAGGCCAAGGUUACUCUGACACAGGCUGCACCAAGACAGUCUCAGAACUUCAUUGCAACUGUUUUUUUUUUUUCCUUUUCUUUCAAAUGGACCUUGAAAUGUUAUUUUUUUCUGUGCUAUUAUCAAAGACUUUUUGUAAAUCUAUCUGAGAAGGCCAUAAAACAAAGACUAUAACAAGCACGAUAACUGCAAAAAUCAAACAAAGCAGGAUGGGGUGACUGUUAAUAUGGUGAUAUGGCGACUCGUGGCAGCAGAAAGGGGGCUGUUUGCUUUGCUUCGUCAUUUUGCUGCACACCUGAUUUAGUUUUUUUGCGCGUUUUCCAUCAGGCUGUCGAAGCAGAGCAAGCUGAGCGCAGCAUAUGCAGUACGGCAGUAUGCACAGCGUGGCUCUGGCACUUACACAGACAGCCCUGGGUCCUUCAGAGAGGCAGGCUGCUGUCUGUUGGCUGCUCUCAGCCAAGCGGGGACAGUUUGCACUUGGAGUUUUUCUCUGUCUCUGGAGAUAUAAAGGUUGGCAUACAGGGAGGAGGAGCAAAUCCAGGUGGUAGGAGAGGGCUGAAUGUUGUUUUCAGGGAUGAGAGCAGGAAGCCCAGGUAACUGUUUAGUGUCGGUCCUCUACGCUGAUGGGAAAUACGUGGCCUAAGAAACGUAACACAAAAGAGGUCACCGCAGAGUUCACAUUGGGGAACUGCAACCAUCAGAAUGUUGCAUAUCUCUUUUGUCUCUAUGUAAGUACUACUCAGGUGGAAAAUUCACUGCUAUGCAUUGGGUUUCAGUGUCUGCUCAGUUGAUCGUAUGUCUAAUCAAACUCUGUGUUCUUGUUCUGUCUUUUCUUUCUUCGUCAUACAAAUAUUUACCGUAAUAGUUCCCAGAAAGGUACUGGCACGAACAGGUCCCUCUUUGUAAAGUGGAUGCGACCAACCUGUUUCUCCAUCUAAUAUUGAUCCAGUGAAUUGUUAGUUGGAGGGAAGGAAGCCACUUGGGAUUCAGUCUUAUUAGUCGGACUGUAGCGUGCUUGAAAAGAGAUGGGGUUGGAAAAGCACAGGGGAGGGGGGUUUGCGUGUUCUCUCACUUUCUUCUCCCAUCGCUCUCCCUCUCUAUGGACUCGUAGUCGACAUCUUUGCUGCCGACUGGCCUUUGAUCAAAGAUCACACACCCUCAGCAGGGGGAUUGGCAAGGGAGGGAGGUGUGGAUGAGGUAUGGAAGAGGAGACGUUUUCACUUGGUGGUAACGUAAACCAGUUUGGGAUACAUUCCAUAACUUCAUACUGUGAUUCCCACUUUUUAGCAAGGUCGUGCGUCUGAGGAGGGACAAGGAAAUGUUCAACAUUUUGCGGCUGGCUGUUUCUGUCCGUCUGUCUAGCCUCUUUAUCCCACUACUAUGUGACAGACAGACAUGUAGACAGAUAGUUUAAAAGGCCCCCGGUGUAGCACUAUCAAGCUGCCUUUUAUCAGCUUCUGCGAUUGUAACAAAAGCACUUUGCGAAAGGCCAUCCUGAAAUUGUGUGCUUUUAUUUUAUCCUUGUCAAUAUUGUUUUGGUUAUUUUGUCCCUGUCUUUUUGUUUUCUCAGUGCAACUGAUUAUUUAAAUGCAAAAACUAUAUAAGAAAAAAAAAAGAAGAAAAAACUUGAAUAUUUGGUAUCUACAAUGAAGAUGGCUUGAGCUGUCGCCUCAUCACAAACAAACACAUCUCUGUUAUAUGUACCUGUUAUGCAGCUUGUUGCAUAGUCACGCAUUGGUGGUGGUGAUGGUGGUGGGGGUAUGGGACGAACCUCCCCCCACCUGCUCUCUGCUCGCUGUCUGGGAUCUUUUUGGGAGAAAGGUGAUUUGAUUUAAUUUCUGGAGACUCUUUAUUGAAACAAACCUGUAUAACAGUUGCAAAGCUUUCUGAGAAGGCUCGCUGUGCUGAAUGUUAAACAUGCAGUGUUGUAUCUACUGCAGAAUCUCUUUGUCUGUUGGUAAAGGUUGGAUCUGGUAUCCAUAUUAAGCGUAAAUGAUUAUGAAAAACGGGACGAAAUGGUCAAAUAACCGUCAUUUCCAUUCUCAGAUCCGUACAGACGUACGUUUUGGCCUUAACAUCUACGACGAAUCAAGAUUACUGCAGUAGAGCGGAAAGAAUACUAUCGAUCAUAAUAAGCAUUCAUUAAAUUUAUAGUUCAGUAAAUGGUUUAACGUGGGAGAGAAGACAAAUAGGCUACUAUUUAUAGAUUGAGUUUAACUGUGAUUACUAUAAUUCUUUAUAGAGUUUUUGUUUCUUUUCUGAUGUACAUUUUAAAGUGACCCAGUUCUCAAAUCUGGACAUUUCAGUGAAAAUCUACGCUGAAUCACACGAAGCAGAAAACAGCUGCUCCACAUGUGUCUCUCUGUGUGUGUGCGCGCUGUUUUUUUUUUUUUUUUUCUUCUUUCAUUCCUGUUGCUGGGCACAUGCAUCGCUCUGUGUAUCACAAAUUUAUCCCAGAGGUGGAAUACCUGCUCACUUCUACCAUUAACUCCAGUGACAGCGAUGAGAACAUAUAACAUAAAUAGACAUAUUCAGAGUGCAGCAGAUGUUUUUCUCUACAUGAUUCAGUGUGGAUUUUUAUUCCAUAACCUCUGUUGUUUUUCUGCUCAUUGCUAAGAAAUCUGUCAGUGUGUAUCUGUUGGAAGCUGCAGGGUGAAAUAUAGGUGAUUUUUUUUUUUUCUUCAGAGAAUUUGCACUUUUUUGGCAACACAAAGAAAUUGUACAUGAGACCACUAAAUCCACAGUCUAAACCAUAUAAUUCCAUUUUGUGUCUUUUAUUUGUUCUGUUCUUUUUUUUUUUCUUUUUUUUUUAAUAUAUCCAAAAAUGUCUGGCAUCUGGUUGUCUGGUUUAAAGAAUAUAAAAUCUUUCUAUUAAAAAUGAUGGUUGCAAAGCUUUGUGUGGAUAAUUAUGUGUGUGUUUGUGUGUUUUAACAUAAGACACAAGUUUGUAUAAACAGUGCUCUUAAGUGGAAGUGUUAUAAAACAAAGGCCUGUUAAUUAUACAGCGUGUAGUGUUAUAGUACUCACUAUCAAAUAACUUUUUAAAUUCUACAGUUGUAACAGGAAGGCAUGAGAGCAACACCUGCCUGUCAACACAAAGCUAACACAAUUACCUUUAGAAAGAUGUGUAAUCAUAGCAUUCUUAUUCUAUGUGAUCUUCUUAAAUUAUGU